rnacentral:rRNA from 1 species
AGCGAACGCUGGCGGCAGGCCUAACACAUGCAAGUCGAACGAACCUUCCGGGCUUCGCGGCGGACGUGUGUGUAACUCGUCGGAACUUGCCUCUAGGUUCGGACUAACUUAGGGAAACCUGUUCUAAUACCGAAUGUGCCCUUCGGGGGAAAGAUUAAUCGACUCUCGAGCGGAACUAGUCCACUUAGCUCGUUGGUUGAUGUUAUCGCUCACCACGGCCACGCUCAGUAGCUGGUCUGAGAAGACGAUCACCCACUUUGUGACUGAGACACGCCCCAAACUCCUACGGGGCGCGGCAGUGGGGAAUCUUGCGCAACGGGCUAAAGCCUGACGCACCCAUGCCGCGUGAAUCAUGAAUGUCUUAGGAUUGUAAAAUUCUUUCAUCCGGGACGAUAAUGACGGUACCCGGAGAAGAAGGCCCGGCUAACUCCGUG